GGAGAACUAAUGUGGAAAUGGAGGCAUCAAAGAAGCAACAGGAGCAAGAGUCAGAGCAAACAAAGCAACCUCGAACUGGAUCAAACCACUCAGGAAGUCACAUAUCAGAGAGAUCUACUACAUGCUAUGUGUGAGCCAAUUGCAGGUUUUGAGCGUGUGUAGACACAGCAGCCGGUGUUUCUGAAGGGCUAGGAGGAACAAAACAUGUCUGAGAAGCUAACCCAGAAAAUGCAUUUCUGUGUCUCUCCAUUGGCCUUACCCUGCUGGAGUCAAUGGCCACUCAACGUCAGCCCAUUGAAGGAGUUCACCCUAAAUGACUGUCUUACAACCAUGUUUUCAAUGGGGAUGCAUGUUUUUGUAUGAGUGCCUUGCUUUCCUCUGUCACUGCUGGAGAAGGCUGGGUAAUCGGCUCAGACGUGGUGCCUCACACCUGGAAAGCUUCAGUGGGGAGGCAGGAGACCCUCCAAGGAUGUGCUGCUCUCCAUCACUCCCGGCCCAAUCCAGCGUCUCACACAAAAUACAACCUGAACAGCCUCACAGCCUGGUGUCCCUCUUACUAUGCUUUGCCCUGCAGAAUCAGGGCUAGGAGAUUCAAUCUCUGCAUCCAUUCAAGCCAUGGUUGUUUUAUUAAAAUGACUGCAAUUACUGCCAGUUACUAAUUGUUUUACUAGUACAGACGUGAAACUGUAAUGGAAGCAACAAAUUAAUGUUUUGUAAGCAACUGAACACACAUCAUUUAAUAACUUUUGAUUUCUGCAGACUUGCACAAUAUUAUAACCACUGUUCUUGAGGUGGAAUGUCCUUUAUCGUCAUAAUUGCUGAAUAUGACAUUAGAAAAAAUGUAGUGCAUCAUGUUUUUAUAAAUGGUGACAUUAUCAAUUCAUUUGAUUCAAAUAUACAUGGGUUUGGUUAUAUUUUUAUUGGGAAAAAAAAAAACAACCUUACUCAUUUUGUUCCAGUCAGGCUGACUUACAUUCCACCUUCUUUCCAGAAGGCUGGUAAUACCAGAUAGUACAAUUAGUUUUAACCACCUGUAUUUCUUCUCACUGGCUGGAGGAUCAGGAAUGUGAUGUUAGAUGUCAUAAAGUGCUGAGAUAUGCUGGCCUUCAGAUCAGGUGUUGGAACUGAAAUAUCCAUCAGGAGGGCUCAGCACUUGUAACCACAGAAAGGAGGUCAUUUAGGAUAUUUUAAAAGCAUUACAACAGUUGAUUUAAUGUUUUUAUGAAUCUUAAACUGUAAAAGCCACAAACCAGAUUGAACAGUGGCUGAAGGCUGUUGACUGGCUUGCUAGAUGGAUUGAACUUCAGUUUAUCCAGCUGUAGGACAAACCAAUUUUAGCUUUGCCAUCUCCAGAGAAAAUACUCUUCCUGUUGUUAUCGUUACUUUAGUAUUACUAACCAUUGAGUGUACACUACCUUAUAAGAGCACUAUGGCAUUUAUUUUCUGAACUCACUGAGAAUAAAUAUUUGAAUAAGACUCGUAUCCCAUACUUUAAAAAACAUACCCAUGAAGCCAUGGAGACUGGGCUGUGUAUUCCUGCUGUGUAUGGCUUUCACUCUAAUGUGACUCUGAUUGUAACCUCAUUUUAUCCCAGCACAACACCAGCACAGCACCUGCAGAGCCUUUACUGUCCAGGGAGGCAGGGCAUGGAGUAAACCUUGGAGAAAGACCGGCACCAUGUGGUCCAUAGUCACCUGUUGAGAAAAGACACAGCGUUGAAGCAGGUUUCCAACUCCCGUCUUUCCCCUUAGGCACUUGGGCAAUAUUCAGCCAAGGUUCUUGGUUCCUAUAAUUUUUUCAAUACUGUGUUAAUAUUUCCACAAAUUAAUUAACAUUAAGGGAAGACUAGUCAGAGAAAUAGACUGAGCACUAGCAAGAGAAGGCAAAAAUCACCCCAGCUGUAUUUCUGUGAAGGAAUAUAAACUGAUUACCCUCUGUCCAGUGACAAUAUGACUUCACCUUGUAAGUCAUGUAUAUGUACAGCUAAUCUUGCAUAUUUUAUAGGGUCAUUGGUCGCAAGGAUAAAGUUCCUGAGAAAGUGCUUUAAAAACACUAAGUCUCUGAAGUCAAACUUGUUAAGAAAUGCCACUGACGUAUGUCAGCACCACAGUUCCCCAAACCAGAAAAUUGUUGGACAGUCCAUGAAUGGACGAUAUUUCCUAACACAUUUGUUCAAUAAAGAAAACUCUGAUAGGCUAUACCAGAGGUCUCUAAUUUUUCAAAACAUUUUCUUCUUUAGCUUGAUAAAUAGAGUAUUCUUACAUGGUGUGUUUCCUGAAUGAGAAUCAGCAGCACUUGACAGCAGCAUUUUUAGAAGAAAGGCUGUAGAUUUAUUUUUAAAUUUGAGGAACUUUAAUGUUGAAUAUUUAAUGCUAAAUAUUUCUUUUUUUAAUCUAAAAUGUUAUAUAGCAAUUUUAUCCCCCAUAACAAAAGCUAGAAUGCAAAAUGAUCAGUCUGCUUGUCAGUGUGGGACAAUUUUUUUAAAAAUACAUUUGUCUUUCUUGGUUUAAAUUAGUUCACAAACCAACUCACACAAGCUACAGAGACAUGUCAAAAGAGAGACAGCAACAGUAUAAAAGUACCAACAAAAACAUUUCUUCAAAAGAAUUUUACAUCACUUUUGGAUAAUAGGGAAACAUCCUGUCCUACAACUAUCGGGUUGUAG